UACGGAGGAUGCAAGCGUUAUCCGGAAUUAUUGGGCGUAAAGCGUCCGCAGGUGGUUGGACAAGUCUGCUGUCAAAGCGCGGGGCUUAACUCCGUAAAGGCAGUGGAAACUGUACAACUAGAGUACGGUAGGGGUAGAGGGAAUUCCCAGUGUAGCGGUGAAAUGCGUAGAUAUUGGGAAGAACACCGGUGGCGAAAGCGCUCUACUGGACCGUAACUGACACUCAUGGACGAAAGCUAGGGGAGCGAAA
rnacentral:rRNA from 1 species